CACAAACAAGGCUAGUGCUGGAAGAUGCCUUGAAGGUCAUGUGGUCUGCUCAGUGCAAGACAGUCACAGGUACUCUUGUCAUAACAACCAAUAUCAUCUGCAAUACUGUUUUGGAGUUGUGAGGGGGCUUGGAGAUUUCAGAUUGGUGGUCUUUAUUGCUGCACAUCGCAAUGAACACACUGUGCUGGUUCAGCAUUUUCAUGUGCUGCAUCGCAA